UACGAAGGGUGCAAGCGUUACUCGGAAUUACUGGGCGUAAAGCGUGCGUAGGCGGUUUGUUGCGUCGGCUGUGAAAUCCCGAGGCUCAACCUCGGGUCUGCAGUCGAUACGAGCAAACUAGAGUGUUGCAGGGGAGACUGGAAUUCCUGGUGUAGCGGUGAAAUGCGCAGAUAUCAGGAGGAACACCGGUGGCGAAGGCGGGUCUCUGGGCAACAACUGACGCUGGAGGAGCGAAAGCAUGGGGAGCGAACAGG
rnacentral:rRNA from 1 species